GACAGAGGAGCCAAGCGUUGUCCGGACUGACUGGGCGUAAAGCGCACGCAGGCGGCGCUGCGCGUGGGGUGUGAAAGCUCUUGGCUUAACUGUGGGCUUGCGGUCGAUACGGGCAUCACUGGAGUUCGGCAGGGGAGACUGGAAUUCCUGGUGUAGCGGUGAAAUGCGCAGAUAUCAGGAGGAACACCGGUGGCGAAGGCGGGACUCUGGGCCGAUACUGACGCUGAGGAGCGAAAGCGUGGGGAGCAAACAGG
rnacentral:rRNA from 1 species